rnacentral:rRNA from 1 species
AACGAACGCUGGCGGCAGGCUUAACACAUGCAAGUCGAGCGCCCCGCAAGGGGAGCGGCAGACGGGUGAGUAACGCGUGGGAAUCUACCGUGCCCUACGGAAUAACGCAUGGAAACGUGUGCUAAUACCGUAUACGCCCUAAGGGGGAAAGAUUUAUCGGGGUAUGAUGAGCCCGCGUUGGAUUAGCUAGUUGGUGGGGUAAAGGCCUACCAAGGCGACGAUCCAUAGCUGGUCUGAGAGGAUGAUCAGCCACAUUGGGACUGAGACACGGCCCAAACUCCUACGGGAGGCAGCAGUGGGGAAUAUUGGACAAUGGCGCAAGCCUGAUCCAGCCAUGCCGCGUGAGUGAUGAAGGUCUUAGGAUUGUAAAGCUCUUUCACCGGUGAAGAUAAUGACGGUAACCGGAGAAGAAGCCCCGGCUAACUUCGUGCCAGCCGCCGCAGUAACAC